CCAUCUUUGUUACAGGCCUGGUUGACAGAUUUAUCACCCGUCACCUGGAAGAUUCUGAUAAUUUUCUAACUGGUCUAAAUGCCUCCGGUAUCUCCAAUCCCUCCUACACACUGACACAAGAAUGUUCUUCCUAAAACAAAGCGCCCUUGGAUCCCCCAAAAAAGAACACCAGCUCUGGAAUCACCAGGACCUGGCUCAGAUCUCCACCCUGUAAUCAAAUGGCCAGCUAUCUGGGACAUUACUGGUGAGUGCCAAGUCUCAGUUUCUGUGUUUGCAAAAUGAGGAUGAUAAUAGAAUCCAACUCAAGAGACCAUGGGGAUUAAAUAAAAUCACAAAUGUAACAAGCUUAGCA
rnacentral:lncRNA from 13 species